CUUGGAAGUGGGCAGUCUGGAAGUCACUCGGGCCACUGGAGCUGGCGGCGUCUCCAGCGAUCGGCGCCGGGCCGAACGCUGCGGUCCACGGGCCCGCGGGGCGGGUGGCUAGGACUCCCAGCACUGUGCAAAAGGAUGAACCCAUGGAGUCCUCACCACAGCGCAUGAGGCCAGCCUCUCAUCCCCAUUGUGCUAAAGCACAAAGAGGUAAAAUAACUUACCUGUUAAGUGCCCAGCAAGUGAGGAAUUGACCUGGGAAUCUGGCUAUGGUCACUUCACCGAAGCUCAGACUUUUUACUCUAUGCCAUGUUUGGCCCCUUUUUUUUCAUUAGUAUACUUCUCAAACAAUAUUAUUUUUACUGGGAGCUCAGUGGUAGAAUGCAUGUGUAGCAUGUGAAAGGCCCUUGGUUCAAUCUCUAGCAUAAAUAAAUAAAUGGAUAAAGGACCAAACAAACGAAUGAAAUUAUUUUUAUUGAGUUGCACAUGGUACAGUAUUUAAAAAUAAAAGGUCAGGUUUUUUUUCAUACUCAAAUCCUCCAUAGCAGCAGCCACUAUGACCUCUUUCUUUCAUCUUUGUUUGGAAAUUCUCUGUGUCUAUACAAGCAAAUAUAUAAACAGAAUAGCCAUAUUCCAUACCAGAGGUGGUAAACUACAACCCACAGGCCAGAUUUGGCCCAGGGUCAGUUGUUGUUUGGCCUGGGAGCUAAGAAUAGGCUCGAUGUUUUCACAGGGUUGAAAAAAAAAUCAGAAGAUUUCAUAACAUGUCAGACGAUUUGAAAUUCAGGUUUCAGUGCCCAUAAAUAAAGUUUUAUGGAACACAGCCAUGCUUGUUUGGUUAUGUAGUUUGGCUGCUUUCAGAGUUGAGCAGUUGCAGUAGAGAAAGAUGACCCCAAGCCUACAUUAUUUAUCCUCUGGUUCCUUCCAGAAAAAGUUUGUCAUCUUUGCACUCCACACUUUCUUUCCUGCGGAACUAUAGUACUUCUUGCCUGCUUUGUUCCCUCCCUAUCCCCUGUCGCCUGUCC
rnacentral:lncRNA from 1 species